rnacentral:rRNA from 1 species
ACCAAGACUGUGAUCAAUAGCUGAUUUGAGAGGAUGAUCAGCCACAUUGGGACUGAGACACGGCCCAAACUCCUACGGGAGGCAGCAGUGGGGAAUCUUGCACAAUGGAGGAAACUCUGAUGCAGCGAUGCCGCGUGAGUGAAGAAGGCCUUUGGGUUGUAAAGCUCUUUCGUCGGGGAAGAAAAUGACUGUACCCGAAUAAGAAGGUCCGGCUAACUUCGUGCCAGCAGCCGCGGUAAUACGAAGGGACCUAGCGUAGUUCGGAAUUACUGGGCUUAAAGAGUUCGUAGGUGGUUGAAAAAGUUAGUGGUGAAAUCCCAGAGCUUAACUCUGGAACUGCCAUUAAAACUUUUCAGCUAGAGUAUGAUAGAGGAAAGCAGAAUUUCUAGUGUAGAGGUGAAAUUCGUAGAUAUUAGAAAGAAUACCAAUUGCGAAGGCAGCUUUCUGGAUCAUUACUGACACUGAGGAACGAAAGCAUGGGUAGCGAAGAGGAUUAGAUACCCUCGUAGUCCAUGCCGUAAACGAUGUGUGUUAGACGUUGGAAAUUUAUUUUCAGUGUCGCAGGGAAACCGAUAAACACACCGCCUGGGGAGUACGACCGCAAGGUUAAAACUCAAAUGAAUUGACGGGGACCCGCACAAGUAGUGGAGCAUGUGGUUUAAUUCGAAGAUACGCGCAGAACCUUACCAACACUUGACAUGUUCGUCGCGACUUUAAGAGAUUAGAGUUUUCGGUUCGGCCGGACGAAACACAGGUGCUGCAUGGCUGUCGUCAGCUCGUGUCGUGAGAUGUUGGGUUAAGUCCCGCAACGAGCGCAACCCUCACUUUUAGUUGCCAUCAUUAAGUUGGGCACUCUGAAAGAACUGCCAGUGAUAAGCUGGAGGAAGGUGGGGAUGACGUCAAGUCCUCAUGGCCCUUACGUGUUGGGCUACACACGUGCUACAAUGGUAUCUACACAGAAGCAGACUGCGAAGUUAAGCAAAUCCCUAAAAGAU